UACAGAGGUCUCAAGCGUUGUUCGGAUUCAUUGGGCGUAAAGGGUGCGUAGGCGGCGCGGUAAGUCGGGUGUGAAAUCUCGGAGCUUAACUCCGAAACUGCAUUCGAUACUGCCGUGCUUGAGGACUGGAGAGGAGACUGGAAUUUACGGUGUAGCGGUGAAAUGCGUAGAUAUCGUAAGGAAGACCAGUGGCGAAGGCGACUCGCUGGACAGACAUUGACGCUGAGGUGCGAAAGCGUGGGGAGCAAACAGG
rnacentral:rRNA from 1 species